rnacentral:rRNA from 1 species
GGAUGACUCUCAGCAACGGAUAUCUUGGCUCUUGCAUCAAUGAAGAAUGUAGCGAAAUGCGAUACUUGGUGUGAAUUGCAAAAUCCCGUGAUCCAUCGAGUCUUUGAACGCAAGUUGCGCCCGAAGCCAUUAGGCCGAGGGCACGCCUGCCUGGGUGUCACAC